rnacentral:rRNA from 1 species
CAGUCGCCGCGGGAAUACGUAGGUGGCAAGCGUUGUCCGGAAUUAUUGGGCGUAAAGGGCUCGCAGGCGGUUUCUUAAGUCUGAUGUGAAAGCCCCCGGCUCAACCGGGGAGGGUCAUUGGAAACUGGGAAACUUGAGUGCAGAAGAGGAGAGUGGAAUUCCACGUGUAGCGGUGAAAUGCGUAGAGAUGUGUAGGAACACCAGUGGCGAAGGCGACUCUCUGGUCUGUAACUGACGCUGAGGAGCGAAAGCGUGGGGAGCGAACAGGAUUAGAUACCCCGGUAGUCCCUGUCUCUUAUAC